UGGUACCAAGGAUUGAACUCAGGGACACUUGACCACUGAGUCACAUUCCCAGCCCUUUUUUGUAUUUUAUUUAGAGACAGGGCCUUGCUAAGUUGCUGAGGCUGUCUUUGAAUUUGUGAUCCUCCUGCUUCAGUCUCCUGAACCUCUGGAGUUACAGGCAUGUGCCAUACUGCUCCUGGCUUGCCUUGCUUUUAAAAUCAGAGUAAUUCAGGUUUGGGUUUUACCGUAUCCAAAGAUAAGCCUAAUCUCAUCUAGUAGAUAACUAGAUGGAUGGAAAAAGCUAAAAUGUAGGAAUAAAAGAAGGUAUCUCUCUCUCCAGUGUCCUCAAGUCCAGGCAACAAGUCUGUGCUGUUAGAGGCAGUUCGGUUGCAGUCUUUUCCCCUUAGGAUGUUAUGAAUGAUUCAUAUUCUGUUGAUAGAGAUAGUAGGGCAAGCUAGUGGGGCCAGUGCUUUGGUGAAGCGUAUCUAAAAGUAGGGCCAGCUCUUUCAAUAUUUUUUUGGAGGGUGGGUACUGGGGAUUGAAGUCAGGGGCACUUUGCCACUGAGACACAUCCCCAGCCCUAAUUUGUAUUUUAUUUAGAGACAGGGUCUCACUGAGUUGCUUAGCAUCUUGCUUUUUUUGCUGAGGCUGGCUUUAAUUCACAAUCCUCGUCUCAGCCUCCCAAGGCACUGGGAUUACAGGCAUGCGCCAUCAUACCGGGCCCUUUCAGUAUUUUUUAAACCUAAGGUUUAAGGUGAAGGGAAGCUAUGAAAUGAUUGGGAACUGACAGCAAUGAAUAAACCAGUGGUUUCUCUCAGCCAAACUGAGGACCAAAUUGUUUUCUGAUCUUUGACUCCUCCUUUGGCAUGUAACAGGGAGAAGAGGAAUUGACAGGUAUUAAAUAGUGCCCAUUAUCUACACUACAUGUGACCCAGAUGUUGGCCUUCCUCCUUUCUGCUAAGGUUACCUCUGCUGCACUUUGUCUCAGGCCUCUUGCUAAGUUCAUUCCCUACAGCAACUUCAUUUACCAGGAAUUCCUAGAACUCUGGGCCUCUGAUGGACAGGCAGCAAGCACUUCACUUUACUGUCCCAUCCUAUCACCAUACCAUCCCCGUACAAACUGUCAUGCUUGGAGGUCUGGAAAGAUGAAAGGGGUUUAUGUUAAAGUGACAAGUUGGAAUCUAGUGAUAGACUCUUAGGUACCCCACGCCAUCCCCUGGGUGUUCUCAUGAACCCCUUUCCCCACAUGGCUCUCCCUACAUGCAGCCCUCCUCAUUCCUCAUCAUCAUUUGUGCAUUUUCUCUCCUAACACCUCACCUAUAGGUGUUAUCUUUUUAGCCACCUUAUAUUUUAAAUGCAUAAGAAAAAUUAUGGAGCAUUAUAUAAGAGUGAAUCUAAAUGGACAUUUUGGAAAAAAUAAAAAACUUGCCUCAAUAAUUUGUGCUGAAAUUUCGAUUGUGUCAGACUGCUUCCAUUCUGUUUUACUUUGUAAACUACAUUGUGUAACUUGUGUUGAGGCAAUAUUUACUAAGCACCCACAAUGUGCAAUACUAGGAGGGGAAGCUCCAUGAGGGCAGCUUCUCUCCUGCAUAGCCACAUGCCUAGAACAGCACGUGAGGCACAGAUAUUUAAUAAGUAUUUGCUGAAUGCAAGAAUGGAUGAGAAGGAAAAGUGC
rnacentral:lncRNA from 1 species